rnacentral:tRNA from 1 species
GCCUGACUGGCUCUGUCAGUGGAGGGUGUGACCCUUGACCUCAGGGUUGUGGGUUCAAGCCCCACGUCGGGCU